UACGUAGGGCGCGAGCGUUGUCCGGAAUUAUUGGGCGUAAAGAGCUCGUAGGCGGCCUGUUGCGUCCGCUGUGAAAUCCCGGGGCUCAACCCCGGACUUGCAGUGGGUACGGGCAGACUAGAGUGUGGUAGGGGAGACUGGAAUUCCUGGUGUAGCGGUGGAAUGCGCAGAUAUCAGGAGGAACACCGAUGGCGAAGGCAGGUCUCUGGGCCACUACUGACGCUGAGAAGCGAAAGCAUGGGGAGCGAACAGG
rnacentral:rRNA from 1 species